rnacentral:lncRNA from 1 species
GCCAGGUAUUCUGUUACUAAAUCGCAGGUUCUUCCCACAACAGCAUCAUGUUCUGAAUUACUUGAGAAAUAUCUAUCUUACUGUACGAUGCUGCAUAUCUCUACAGCUGCCAUUGCAGGAAAGAAGAGCAUAAAGAGGUGCUGCUGAACCCAUGGAGGACCAGAAGAAGCUCAAAGGCUACGUUAGCAUUAUUAUGAAGAAACAGUAUGAGUCUCACUUCCCACAGUGCAGUUUUUGCACUGCCUCUCCAAAAUGGAAGCUAUUACAUUUGCUUGAACUAGUAUAACCAAGUGGAAAGACCUGCAAGAUUGCAGUCGUCUCAGCUGAUGGGAACCGAGGGGAGGUCAGAGGGAGGAAGGAGACUAAGGCUGGGGUGCUUAUUCCCUGGGCUCCCUCCCUGUGGAGUCACUUCAAGCUUCUGUGUCCCUCAACUGAAGAUCACUGCUCUUCUCAUGACAGUACAUGACUCUCUGCCUCAGCGUUCCCGGAACCCUGGAUGAAGCCCCCACCACUUUAUCCCUUCACACCAGGAGCAGUAACAGCUACAUUGUUACUAGUUCCAAGGUACUCACUAUCUGAUGUAAUUUCUCUCUAUCCUUGUAAAUAGUCCCUGUAUUAAAUCCCCCAUAAAUUAACCUAAUUUGAAUGUAUCAUUUGAUUCCUACUGGAACCUUAAACUAUUCCAGUCUGACUCCAAAAAUCACUCUUUCAACCACUGUGUUCAACUACCUCCUAAAUUAUUUGAGAGGCUCAGGUUUUCACUCUCUAGGAUAAAGGUAACUGGACACCAGUGUUACCUUUGAAUAGUUCUGAACUCUGUAAGGCUUCCUGGAAUCCAUCUCUGUUAGUUUUCUUAUGGCUUCCCUUUAC